AGAAAAAAAAAAAAAAAAAAAAAAAAGUAGGGAGAGAGAGAUGGGGAUAAAGAUGGAGAGAGGAGCAGACUGAGGGGAAGAUAAAAGAUGAAGAGUGUGAGAAGGAGGAGUAGAAGAAAGAGAGAGUUUGUGAGUUUAAAUAAAUUGGGAACCAAAUUUUCCAAAAGUUUUGUGUGAAAUUUUCUCAAAUUUUUGGCGGAAGAUUUGACCGCCCAAGUUUUUCUAACUUAGGAGACGGAAUUGUCCAAGUUCGUAGCCUAACUAAUUCAAAUUUUUUUCAUUACAAAAAAAUUUCAUCUCCUAAGUAAAACAUUUCGUCUUCUAAGUUCCUCUUAGGCUACAGAAUGGAGUUCCGUUGCCUAAGUUGUUAAUAUUUUGAUUUUUUAUUUUUCAAAAAGUUAUUUCGUCUCCUAAGUAAAUGGUUUCGUCUCUUAAGUAGCACUUUCGUCUAAGUGGUCACUUAGGCUACGGAAACGAGUUCUGUCUUCUAAGUGCUACUUAGGAGGUAGAAUUGUUUUAAUUCUGUCUCAUAGGUGCUUUUUUCUAGUAGUGAGUUUUUCAUAAGUGUGACUUCGGAAUACUUCUAAGUAAUCAAUAUAUUAGUGACCGAGGAAGUUAUGGUCAAUUUCAUAAAUUUUUUUAAAAAAAAAACCCUAUGGGCGGCGGUGUCAUCAAGCACCAAACCCCCUCUCGUCUGGUGGCUAGCUUAGUUGUUGGUCGGCCUCUCGGCCUUGCCGACGUCGAGUCUUCUACCGGACGGAGAUAAUGAAAUAAGCAAUUUACAAUUUACCAGGUGUUCUCGGGAGAAGGGAGUUGGCUAGAGGUUGAGAAGAAUUUGAGCUUGGCUUGUUCUGGGAAGGAUUGAUGGCAUGGAGGGAUCGGCAACCUAUGGCGGAGAGAUCAGAGUCGAAGGUGUCUUUGUUUCGGCGGCGGCGACA
rnacentral:lncRNA from 1 species